GAAAUGCGAUAAGUAGUGUGAAUUGCAGAAUUCAGUGAAUCAUCGAAUCUUUGAACGCACAUUGCGCCCUAUGGUAUUCCGUAGGGCAUGCCUGUUCGAGCGUCAUUUACACCUUCAAGCCUUGCUUGGUGUUGGGUGACUGUGGCCCCUUUGGGGCCACUCGCCUUAAAGUCAUUGGCGGCCGGUUCGUUGGCUUUGUAGCGCAGCACAAUUGCGUCCUCGAAGUCGCUGGACCAGCUCCCAGAAGCUAAUUUUAAAUGUUUGACCUCGAAUCAGGUAGGGAUACCCGCUGAACUUAAGC
rnacentral:misc_RNA from 1 species